AUCCCCCGGACCUCCUAUCCACCCCCACUUUUACUCCUCUAAUUUCAAAGGCGUCCCACUAUGUUUCUGUGUAAUUAAUGGUGAAAGUCUACAGAAUCUAAUUACGCAGUAAUUUUGGAGCAGUUAGUGCUGGGCGUGUGGUGUAACAAGCCUAAGACGAGGAAUGAUAUAUAGGUUUAUGAUUACUGAAUUAUUAUACAUUCCCUACAGUUUUUCCCCCUUAUGAAUUUCUUAUCAAUACCUGUUUUUUUUUUUUUUAAGAAAAUGUAGGGAAAUUGGUUGCUUCAGUGUUAUCAGUGUUGUUCCACAAAGCGCAGUGCAAUGCCAUCUAAUAAUAAUAAUAAUAAUAAUAAUAAUAAUAAUAAUAAUAAUAAUUACGUUGCUUGGAGUGUGUGCGUGUGUAUUUGCAUUUAAGUCAUGUAAGAAGAUGUCAGAUUUAUUUAGAAAUAAAAUGUAAUAUUUUAUGGUGUGUGGAGUUUAACUGUGCUGCCUUUUUCUCAUCUCUUUAAUGAAAUAGUUUCAUGUUAGGAGAAUGGCCGGAGUAAGUUAGUAGUAAUUUGGAUCAUAGCUUGACUGGGUUGAUUUUAGCUGACAGAGCGUGUGUUGAGGCUAAACUCUGUAAUUUGCACUUCUGUUCUUUUAUUAGCGUUGGACAUCGAACUAAUGAGUUCUCCCUCUCUACAACGUCACUUUUAUUUAUUUAUUUCCGGAAAAAGAAAAUGCACUUUGUGGUACACUUGAGCAACGAGAAAGAACAAACAUAGAGCUUCUUGUCCUUUUCAGUAUCUAGGGUUUUAUAUGUAAGGACCAAAUAUAAAUUGAAAUAUUUGAACUGUGUAGGUGUGUGCAUGCACGUGCUCGCUUGUCACUAUAUGCUAACGUAAUAUAUUGUACAUGAAAUAAUGGGGAUGGAUAUUAACUUCCAUUAAAUGUUGUAUUUUCUAUUGUAUAUAAUAACACAUGAAUCACUUGCAUUUCAAAUGACGCUAUUUUCCUCGUGGUGUAUAGCCUGUAUUCGAUAUGCACGCAUAUUUCUUCAACGCCUGUUUAUUCCUAAGAUUUAACCGAAAACGUGUAUUCUGCUGGCGGCAAUUUUCUGAAUAAAAUUGAAGAGCAAAUGAUAAGACUUUUUUUUUUUUUUUUUUUAUCAAAUACCUUUAUUGAUGACAACUCAGCAUGCAUUACGAAUUGCGUGUCUAUGGAAUUGGCCUAAUAUCUUGUUGUUUUUAUUCACGUGCAUAGCUGGUAAUAAUAAAGAAUUAUCUAAUUUUAAAUACAUAUAUUUUAAAGGUAUUGAUGAUGUGAGCUUUAGAUAGUUUAAUUCGGGGCUCAAAUGUAUGUUCCAAUAUUUGCAAUGUUAUCAUUUUUACUCUAUCCGCUCAUUGGUGUGCUCGCGCGCAACCCUGACUGUUUCUUGAAAUGCAGUCUCCAGUAAAAGGCAACCAGAUACCUGUUUUUAUGUCUCUAUAUAGCAAAAGAUUAUAGGCUACACGCGGGUCCUAUAUCACUGUUGCUAGUUUAUACAAAUGCAACGUGAGUGAAUGUAUCCGAAUCACAAUGUGAAUGACGUCUGUGUGUACUUCUCUUUGUAAGACUAAUAUUCAUUGUAUUGUGUUUACACUCUUCUCGUAAAAAGAUAUAUCCUGCCUGUGUGUGUGUGUGUGUGUGUGUGAGAGAGAGAGAGAGAGAGAGAGAGAGAGAGAUCAAGUUUGAAGUUUGUCCGAUUUAAUCAGUUGAGUAGUGUUGUUAUCCACGGCGACACCUACGGGUGAAGAAGUUUGUGUCUCCCUUACACAGUAUGUUUAUUUUUUAUUUGUGUAAAUACUCGUUUGGGGUGGCGAUGAGAGGGAUGGAUCCCCAAAUGUACAAUUGCUCUUUGAGGAGGCGCACUUUACUAUUAUGGUAAGGUCCACCCGAAACCGCUGGUAGUGGCUGUCCGGGCCAGCUGAAGAGAUCGUCUGAGUACUGACCUCUUCCAUCAAGUCAAGCAGCCAAGCUUCUGCAAAAUAAGCCUGCCGAUAUGUGAUCUCGUCUUAGUUAAACAGUCGUGACAAACUGUUCUGUUUAAUCUACUGUUGUCACCUUCACCAAUAGGGUAAGGAUUUAUUAUUAUUAUUAUUAUUAUUAUUAUUAUUAUUAUUAUUAUUAUUGUUGUUGUUGUUGUUGUUGUUGUUGUUGUGUGUUUAGAAUGAUUCUUCGCUUCUUCUGUUAUUCGUGAUAUAUGCCUGAAGUCAUUAAUUUUUCCGUGGGCCCAUAGUGAAUUGCUGAUAAUGCUACAUACACACGCGUGUGAGGCUUAUCAUGUCAUUACUGUUAUGCAAUAUAUUCUGUUCAAGAUGCUUGUGUAUUUAGACUGACAGUUAUCUUUGUUAUUUUAAAUAAAUUGCAUUUAAAUAGACUUGGCGAUCCAAGCUAAACGCGCUCCUCUUUUUAAAUGUUAGAAAAUUGUGCCAUCUACCCGCUAUUCACAGAACUGUCACUCGCAGGACCUCGCAAGACCUCCGGCCAACUUUAACACAAAGGAAGAGGCCGAUGGGGCUGGGACGUGCUUCGCCAUAAACUUUCCUGUGUUUCAGAUGCAGAUAAAACUAAGAGUGGGUCUGCAACUGCACUGUCGUUCACAACCAAUAUGUAUUUAGGCUGAUGUCAACUUGGGGAUGAUGAUAUGUUACCUAAUGCAUAAAUAUUAUUUUAAGAAACCACCCAGGCUAUUCUUUUCUGUCUGCACUCUUGUGAAAGUUCCUUGACUCAAUGUUAGUGCGGGGUUCCUGAUUGAAUUUGUAAAUAAUGCACAUUCCCAUGAUAUUUGAUUGGUCGCACCUUGGUUAGCAAGGAACCGAUUCGUAUAUGUAUUAAACAGUAUGUAUAUUGUUUAAAUAUAUUCAAAGGCCUGUGUGGGACAGAACUUCGAUAUUAACUGGUAGGCCUUGAAAUGUAUUAUUUCUAAAUUUAUUAUUUUUAAAAAUUUUUCUUUGGUUGUUCAUGGGAGUGAAUUAAUAGUUCACGGCAGUUUUGUGCCGGAUUUGUAUUAGUUUAGUUUUGGGAUUUAACCUCAUGAUAGUAUCAUGUAGGAAUACAUUUUCAUAUUUAAAAAAAAACAAAAACAUGAUGACACGUGAUGUCUGGAUGUAGAUCACCAAAAUACCUUAUUGAUAUUCAAAAUAUGUCAGUUUGUCUGACAAUUAACAAAAUCGUACUGAAAUGGUGAGAGAAUGGAGAUUUACAGACGUUUAAAAGAAAAUUCACAACCGUUCAUUAUCCUUAACUCUUUACAGUUAUUCUUAAACUCACAAGCGCGUGAACUCACGUAUGAUCUCUCGCUCUCCUCUGUCUUUAUCUCUCUCUUUCACACACGCACACUAUCAAUUAAAAUGUUGUAAUUUUCACAUUUUUAAGAUAAUUCACAUUUUGUAACUAAUUAAGUUCAAUUUUACCGAACCAACAUCUUGUAGCCCCAAAUUAUAUUCACCAGUGACCCAUACUAUACCGAACUUAUGUUUUGCUGACAUUUUUACAUACAAAACUGCUAAUAUACUUUAAUAUCAGAUUUCAAAAUAAUGCCCUUCUCUUUUAUCUUUUAAGUGUGUAUUGUUUCAUCAUCAUUCUUUUAUAUAAAUUGUGAAAAAUCAUCAUCAUGAAUAUAGCAAUUGUUCACCUCCAGACAACUCGCGAUUGGUUGUUCCAAAAUUAAUAUUACACAAUAAUUUUGACAGAGAGAGAAGGAGAAAAGGGAGAAGAAAGAGCGAGAGAGAGCGAGAGGUGUACUUUUUAUUGUUGCGGUAGUACCACCUUUGUCAGAGUUUUGUAGACUGAUUAUCUCAUAGACUAACUACAGAACUACUUCAGGUCAUCCAUUGAUCGCCGGCAAUGUUAAAAACCGAAGGGUUAAUUUUCCCUCAUUAGCAUUCCCUUAGCACUAUCCCACUACACUGACACGCAGACGGCCGUCCGCAAUUCUCCGUGCACCACACACCUUUCUGAGGCCUGUUCUCCGUCUAAAAGAUGCCAUUCUUUUCAGAAUUUCCUAUUUUUCUUUUGUCUCUUUCGUGUUUUUAGGUUAUCCCGAAUUACAAUAUAUUAUCUGCAGUGCUGCACUGGUUCUUCUUGUCCACUCGCACCCCAAAGCAUUCAUGCGCAGUCCAUCUGAGAUCUUUAAUUGUGCUUUCUUGAGAAGAUUUUUAUUACCUUUCACGUUCUGUUCCAUUCUAAUGGCUCUUUCUUAUUAGCUAUUUUGUCUAAAAACGUGUUAUUUCAACCUCCCCUCCCCAACUCUUCUGCACGAAGAUGCUUUUCUCUUUCCCUCGGUAGCCUCGCACCCUCUGAAAAUGCAAAAGAAUGGGGCCAGUCGACACCAAAAUGGCAAAGUUCAUCGCGAAAAAACUUGCAGACUUACAAAGGGGCACAAGGCUUUGUAAUUGUAGAAAAGAGUGGAAAAGAAAGGGAAACGGCAGUUGAGGCAGGCGUGUGAGAGUGUUUGUGUGUGCAUGCGUGCGUGUGAGCAUGUAUAUGAGUGCACUUUUUAAUGAUUUUCUUUGAAUUGUUGUGCUGAAAAGGUGCACACUCCUGGCAUUGAUAGCCACGGUUUUGAGCAACUUCUUAUUGAGAAUUCAAUGAAUAUUACAUCUUAAUCGCUCGCUGAGUUACCCAUUAUAUAUAUAUAUAUAUAUAUAUAUAUAUAUAUAUAUAUAUAUAUAUAUAUAUAUAUAUAUAUAUGCAACAUCGGCGCCGGCGUUGGGGAACUAUAUGCAAUGAGCCUAUGUAUUUUUAAGCAAGCGGAGAUUGACUGGAGCAGGAGCCGGGGCUUCGGAGAACGGAAGACCAUCCACAGGUUUCUGCUCAAGCAAAGAAUGAAAACAAGACAAACAUACAACUCAACAAAACUCACCAAAGAGAUGCCUUGGAAUGCCACUUGAGGAGCAGGCACAGGCGACGAUUCAUUGACCAGCACAGGAGAAGUGGCAGUGGGCGAACCAACCAGAGAUUUCCACGGCAUUGGAGUGGGUCUACAUUCCUUCACUCACAGCUCUAACUCCUUUAACUUGACCUGAUGGUCAGUCUCAAGCUCAAAAGCUUGGAGUCAUCGACUGGUUUUGGUAUUCUUGCCUACUCAGCUCCAGUUCUUUUAAGCAUCGGGCGAGCAUCGAAGUACUCAGAGACGAGCGUGGAUCACUGAGAUGGAGACACGUUUGACAUGCCUUCAGCAUCCGCUGCAGCCGUAGUCUGCAGUGCUUCCAGCUCAGCAGCACCCAUGAACUCAUUUCACUCAGAGGAGGCAGUUCUGUUGAAGUCUGAGCUCUGGAUGUGAAGGCCACAGGUCAUCCGAGACAAACGUCCCCAUGUCCUGCAAAACAAGACACCCUGACACCUUCAACACUCCCCCUUCCCCUCACCUGCCUGCGUGAGAGAGAGAGCUGGCACACAGCUGCAGGGUCAGCUUGAACCAAGAGAGGUGACGCAACAGAAGCUUGGCCAAGCUCUUGCCACUGAAGAAAGCGUGGUCAAGUGUCUCCCGAAGACAAACAGCUCAUGCUAACUGGACCCCCGAAAAUGGAGCAGUUGGUGAUGACAUACGUGAAAACCAACUCUACAUACUUGCCUCUCCUUUUUCUCUUGUAUAGUCUUUCUCUUCUCUUUCUCUCUCUUCAGUUCUGUGAUUCAAAAAUUAAUUCACAAAAAUGAACAAGAGCAAGCUAAUGCAUAAAUAACAAAAUAUCUUCUCAAAAUGUAUUUAUAAAUAACAGUCAAAUGGUGGAAUGUAGUUUGUUUUGGAGGUGGAUGCAAAAAGGCAUACAAGCUAUACACAAAAGAGCAAUCUGUAUUAAAUAUGAAACACAUGCAAACAAAUAAAUAUUUCAAAUAUAUACUGGACCUUU